GAUGAACGCUGGCGGCGUGCCUAAUACAUGCAAGUCGAGCGAACAGACGAGGAGCUUGCUCCUUUGACGUUAGCGGCGGACGGGUGAGUAACACGUAGGUAACCUACCUAUAAGACUGGGAUAACUUCGGGAAACCGGAGCUAAUACCGGAUAAUAUUUCGAACCGCAUUGUUCGAUAGUGAAAUAUGGCUUUGCUAUCACUUAUAGAUGGACCUGCGCCGUAUUAGCUAGUUGGUAAGGUAACGGCUUACCAAGGCAACGAUGCGUAGCCGACCUGAGAGGGUGGUCGGCCACACUGGAACUGAGACACGGCCCAGACUCCUGCGGGAGGCAGCAGUAGGGAAUCUUACGCGAUGGGGGAGAGCCUGACGGAGCAACGCCGCGUGAGUGAUGAAGGUCCUCGGAUCGUAAAACUCUGUUAUUAGUGAAGAACAAACGUGUAAGUAACUGUGCACGUCUUGACGGUACCGAAUCAGAAAGCCACGGCUAACUACGUG
rnacentral:rRNA from 1 species